GACGAACGCUGGCGGCGUGCUUAACACAUGCAAGUCGAACGGAAAGGCCCUGCUUUUGUGGGGUGCUCGAGUGGCGAACGGGUGAGUAACACGUGAGUAACCUGCCCUUGACUUUGGGAUAACUUCAGGAAACUGGGGCUAAUACCGGAUAGGAGCUCCUGCUGCACGGUGGGGGUUGGAAAGUUUCGGCGGUUGGGGAUGGACUCGCGGCUUAUCAGCUUGUUGGUGGGGUAGUGGCUUACCACGGCUUUGACGGGUAGCCGGCAUGGGAGGGUGACCGGCCACAUUGGGACUGAGAUACGGCCCAGAAUCCUACGGGAGGCAGCAGUGGGGAAUAUUGCACAAUGGGCGGAAGUCUGAUGCAGCAACGCCGCGUGCGGGAUGACGGCCUUCGGGUUGUAAACCGCUUUCGCCUGUGACGAAGCGUGAGUGACGGUAAUGGGUAAAGAAGCACCGGCUAACUACGUG
rnacentral:rRNA from 1 species